rnacentral:rRNA from 1 species
UACGUAGGGUGCAAGCGUUUGUCCGGAAUUACUGGGCGUAAAGAGCUCGUAGGCGGUUUGUCGCGUCGUCUGUGAAAUCCCGCAGCUCAACUGCGGGCUUGCAGGCGAUACGGGCAGACUUGAGUACUGCAGGGGAGACUGGAAUUCCUGGUGUAGCGGUGAAAUGCGCAGAUAUCAGGAGGAACACCGGUGGCGAAGGCGGGUCUCUGGGCAGUAACUGACGCUGAGGAGCGAAAGCGUGGGGGAGCGAACAGG